CACGUAGGGGGCAAGCGUUGUCCGGAUUUAUUGGGCGUAAAGAGCUCGUAGGUGGUUCGGUAAGUCGGGUGUUAAACCCCCAGGCUCAACCUGGGGACGCCACUCGAUACUGCUGUGACUAGAGUCCGGUAGGGGAGCGUGGAAUUCCUGGUGUAGCGGUGAAAUGCGCAGAUAUCAGGAGGAACACCAAUGGCGAAGGCAGCUCGCUGGGACGGUACUGACGCUGAGACGCGAAAGCGUGGGGAGCAAACAGG
rnacentral:rRNA from 1 species